UACAUAGGUGGCAAGCGUUGUUCGGAAUUACUGGGCGUAAAGGGCGCGUAGGCGGUCUUGUAAGUCUUGUGUGAAAUCCCUCGGCUUAACUGAGGAACUGCACGGGAUACUGCGAGACUUGAGAUCGGGAGAGGGAAGCGGAAUUCCGGGUGUAGCGGUGAAAUGCGUAGAUAUCGGAAGGAACACCAGUGGCGAAGGCAGGUCUCUGGGCCACUACUGACGCUGAGAAGCGAAAGCAUGGGGAGCGAACAGG
rnacentral:rRNA from 1 species